rnacentral:rRNA from 1 species
AUUGAACGCUGGCGGCAUGCCUUACACAUGCAAGUCGAACGGUAACAGGUCUUCGGAUGCUGACGAGUGGCGAACGGGUGAGUAAUACAUCGGAACGUGCCCGAUCGUGGGGGAUAACUACUCGAAAGAGUAGCUAAUACCGCAUACGAUCUACGGAUGAAAGCGGGGGAUCUUCGGACCUCGUGCGGACGGAGCGGCCGAUGGCAGACUAGGUAGUUGGUGGGAUAAAAGCUUACCAAGCCGACGAUCUGUAGCUGGUCUGAGAGGACGACCAGCCACACUGGGACUGAGACACGGCCCAGACUCCUACGGGAGGCAGCAGUGGGGAAUUUUGGACAAUGGGCGAAAGCCUGAUCCAGCAAUGCCGCGUGCAGGAUGAAGGCCUUCGGGUUGUAAACUGCUUUUGUACGGAACGAAAAGACCCCUUCUAAUACAGGGGGUCCAUGACGGUACCGUAAGAAUAAGCACCGGCUAACUACGUGCCAGCCGCCGCAGUAAGAC